UACAGAGGGUGCGAGCGUUAAUCGGAAUUACUGGGCGUAAAGCGCGCGUAGGCGGCUUGGCAAGUCGGGUGUGAAAUCCCCAGGCUUAACCUGGGAACUGCAUUCGAGACUGCAUUGCUAGAGUAUGGGAGAGGGAAGUGGAAUUUCCGGUGUAGCGGUGAAAUGCGUAGAUAUCGGAAGGAACAUCAGUGGCGAAAGCGACUUCCUGGACCAAUACUGACGCUCAUGUGCGAAAGCGUGGGGAGCAAACAGG
rnacentral:rRNA from 1 species